GCCUACGGGGGGCAGCAGGAGGGAAUCUUCCACAAUGGGCGAAAGCCUGAUGGAGCAACGCCGCGUGGGUGAAGAAGGUCUUCGGAUCGUAAAACCCUGUUGUUAGAGAAGAAAGUGCGUGAGAGUAACUGUUCACGUUUCGACGGUAUCUAACCAGAAGGCCACGGCUAACUACGUGCCAGCAGCCGCGGUAAUACGUAGGUGGCAAGCGUUAUCCGGAUUUAUUGGGCGUAAAGGGAACGCAGGCGGUCUUUUAAGUCUGUUGUGAAAGCCUUCGGCUUAACCGGAGUAGUGCAUUGGAAACU
rnacentral:rRNA from 1 species